UUUGCCGGAUUAGCUGAGAGGUGGUGCAUGGCCGUCGUCAGUUCGUACUGUGAAGCAUCCUGUUAAGUCAGGCAACGAGCGAGACCCACGCCCACAGUUGCCAGCGUACUCUCUGGAGUGACGGGUACACUGUGGGGACCGCCGCUGCUAAAGCGGAGGAAGGAAUGGGCAACGGUAGGUGAGUAUGCCCCGAAUAUCCCGGGCUACACGCGAGCUACAAUGGUUGGUACAAUGGGUAUCUACCCCGAAAGGGGAACGGGAAUCUCCUAAAACCAAUCUUAGUUCGGAUUGAGGGCUGCAACUCGCCCUCAUGAAGCUGGAAUCCGUAGUAAUCGCGUUUCAACAGAACGCGGUGAAUACGUCCCUGCUCCUU
rnacentral:rRNA from 1 species